GGGCACAUGGUGUAGUUGGUUAUCACGCCCGCUUAGCAUUUAUGUGUGGCUGCGGGCGGUGCCCGGUUCAAUUCCGGGUGUGUCCA